UACGUAGGGUGCAAGCGUUAAUCGGAAUUACUGGGCGUAAAGCGUGCGCAGGCGGUUUUGUAAGCCAGAUGUGAAAUCCCCGGGCUUAACCUGGGAAUGGCAUUUGGGACUGCAAGGCUUGAGUUUGGCAGAGGAGACUGGAAUUCCUGGUGUAGCAGUGAAAUGCGUAGAUAUCAGGAGGAAUACCGAUGGCGAAGGCAGGUCUCUGGGCUAGAACUGACGCUCAUGCACGAAAGCGUGGGGAGCAAACAGG
rnacentral:rRNA from 1 species